CUGAUUGCUCUCAAAGGUCUUUGAAAAGUCUUUGACAAUAGGCAGAAAAAAUCUUUUGAAGUCUUUGAAAUUGUUUGGUCUUGAAGACUACGAACCCUGUUUUUGUCAAGAUGAAUGUCAACCCGAAAGUAUAUAACUACUUUAAAAAUCGUUAUGUUUUGUCAUAGUAAAUGACAUUAACGCAGUUUUUAAUCCAGUCCUUCUCGGCAAUCUGACAUUAAUCGUGUUGACAAAAACGUCAUUUGCUUAAGCUCGCUACAAUAAUGAGUUAGAAGUUUUCUAUAGUUAAAGUACUUAACGUUUAAUUAAAAAGUAGUUAACCGUCUUUUGUUAAGAGUUUCACAACCUGCUCCGCGGUUAAGCAUUUUUUUACGCUGUUAAAAUGCGCAGUACAAAAGUAUACCAUUGUUUGAAUGGCCAUAAAAAUGUACCGCGGCCUUUAAAUGCGCGAAAUUGCUUAAUAAAAUACUCUUUUGCCGUAAUAUUCAUAACUCGAACGGCUAUAGUGUGAGCCACAGACGAUACAGACAGCUGCGAUGUUAAGGAUAUACAAUAUUUAUAACCGUGCAAAAAUUGCAAAAUGAACGUGCGCAUAUUAAGAAAGGCUUUUUACCGUAGUUAAGCAUAAUUAUAUUUUAAAAUGUAGAAAUUAUUAAUGAUAUAAUCCCACCGUAGGUCACUUGUCCCCAUGGAAACAAAACAAGUUAUAUAUAAUAUUUAUAUGGUUGCUUUGUAGAAACGUUACUGUAAAAUACACAUCCUUUAUUUAAACAUGAAGAGAAUUAUAAUAGUUUUGUUUGUGGAAACACCACGUAAAUGUAUUACUGCAAAGCUUUCGACAUAUUAUAUUAGCACUGAUGAAGAUCUGGGCUUAUACGGAUCGAAAGCUUUGCAGUAAUAAAUUUACGUGGUGUUUCCACAAACAAAACUAUUAUAUGUUUUAUCGCCAUGCAAACAUACAAAGAACUUAUGAAGAGAACUAUUUAAACAAUGGGUCCUUUUAGUGUUCCUGCGUUUUGCCUUGACAGAAAUAGACUAAAGCACAUGUAGGCGAAUUUUAAAUGAGUUUUAGGCCAGCAGGUGUCUUGUCGAAAUGUAUAUUAGUUUCUUCGCGGACUAAAAUUAUAAAAUUGACUUAGCAUUUUAAUUUUUCACGGCGAUUGGCAAC